UUGCUCCAGACUUUGUUCGAAGUAGAGCCUUGUCGAUGUCCGAUCCAUUAUCACGUAGUAGUGUACAGAGGCCAAUCUAGAUUUAGUUCCUGUUCAGCUCAUGUACCACUACUAAACACUAGCAUACCUCAUCAGACAAUUGUGAAUCAUUUGGGAUAAGGGUAACCCUUUCCUAGAACAUUCUAGCAAUAUCCUUAUAAGGUGGAAUUACAAGAGCUCUAAGACCAUUUUUAGGAUUAUUGGGAGAUAUGCUUCAAGAGUCUCUUAAUAAUCCCACCCUAAUAAUACAUUCACCCCCAAUGACAUGUGGGCCCCUAAGAAGCAAAGGGAUAGAGAUGGCGUAUUGGAGAGGAGGGAUUUUCCCUUUAUUUCGGGACAAGGGGGUUGGGUGUUACUAGCCUCCGUCCCAAAAAAAUAUUGGAAAUGGGGAUUAUUUGGGAGACUAUUGGAGCAGUCCAAACAUCAUGAAAUUUUUUGGGAUUAGAGGUGGUAUUGAGAGUCUGCUGGAGUAGCUUUUAGCUAGCUCAUAACUUGAAAAAUUAUCACAAUACCCUCAAUCUCAGAUGAUAGAGAAAGUAUCUACAGUGAGGGAUUAUACAAGGCAUCUAUGAUGAUUAUAUCAUUAGCAUUUAGUUAGGUUUUUGCCAACAUUUGAUAAAACUUGCCUAGGGGGUUAGUUGAUCAAAUCAUUCACUCACACUUUUCUUAGUUAAGGAGAACUUUACACCUUUUUCUCAAAUAUGGGGAUUGGACCGGCAAAAAAAAAUCUUUCUACAAUCUGUUGACGCGAAAUGAUCACACACCAAACCCGAGAGCCCUGUACGCCAAGAUCAGACUGCACUUGAUUCAAACCAAGACGUGCCAGUCAAUUUGACCUGUAAAUUGACAAGGAAACAACAAACAGUCAAAUUAAAGAGUGUAUCGGCUGGAUUUCCGAAUCACUCUUAUGCACCAUAUCGGCAAAGCUCUGCCGAUACAGAAAACGACAACAGAUCGGGUAUAAAAAAUGUGCAAUAAAAGCGAUCUAUAAGGAAUCGACAGAGAGCUGCCGAUACCGGUAUGCAACUAGCUGGCUAGAUCUCAAGCCGACACGUGUCAGGUAACAAUGUACAAACCAACGAAUGUGUGGAUCUGGACAAAGCUAAGCUUGCAACUGAUCUAAUCAGCUUUAUAAGGUUUAUCGUGAUAAAAAGGAGCUUACAGCCAAUUAAACAGAUCACUAAUCCGUGUAGUUUGUGAAUAGAUCUAAACGAGAAAACAGCGAUGCGCUCGAGAUCAAAGCUUAGAUAAAUUCGAUAAAUUUUGAAUAGAUCUGAACGAAGCCACAGCGAUGUGCCCGGAAGCUAAAGCUCAGAUAUACUCGGUAAACGAAGACCUACCAGCAAACCAAGUCGCUCGAAUGUGAGGCGUCCUUGAUCAGCUUGAAAGAACUCGCAGAAAAAGAAAAAGGGUGGCGAAGUCGCCGACAAGAAAGUAAAUUGCAAGUAGUAAAAUUUAUUUGUUUGGAUGUGUAUCGAUCUUUACAAUAGGCGGGGAGUUCAUAUUUAUACCCCACGCUAACACAAUCCUAGCCGAUUACGGCAAAGCACGAUUUCUAUCUUAAGAAACAAAAACUAUUGUAAUAAACAAAAUACCACUUUCCGAAUCAAGGUCGUCUCAAUCCAAAUAUGUCCAUCAAUGCUGAGACACCUAAUCGGUACGAAAUCAUGACCGAUCCCUUCUUCCUGCAAACCAGCACCAUUUUCGCAGACUGAUAUUUCCUUCCUUAUUCCUUUUUUACGCAUGCCAAAAAAUGGUGUCAAUACAUACCCCCCAGUUUCGGAGUGAAUUAUCCUUUUACUCCAAAAUUAUCCUUUGAAUCAUAAUUAUUUCCUUCAAACGGUUGUCUAAAAAGCGCUUCAUGCCGUUCCCCGUAUCCAGUGUAAACGGCUCACCAAUCCGGAAUCUCCAUCCUGGGGUGGGGUCACCUUAUAAGUACGUCAGCAUACUCUUCCCCCUUUCCUCUUCACAGUUCUACAUCCGGGCCAUCUUUCUCUCUGCUCAAGAACUCAUCUGUUCCGCCGCCUCCGGAUUUCCAGCCGCGUCUUCUCCAAACAUUGAAAGCUUCUCCAAGGUACUGCUAAUGGCUUCCAUCUCCGAGAUCUCCCAGGGUACAAUGACUGUCGGUGUUUACCGUCAAGCCUGCUCAGGGAUACCCUUAGCAGUAAGGUUUGUAGGUAGGGAUCGACUGCUCUAGAUCUCGAUGGUGCAAUGACUUGGAGCAUGUCUUGGAGCUUUUGGUAACACCGGUUGAACCGACGCCAGGAAAGUUGAAUACGUCGGUGCAAUGAACUCAGCAGCUGAGGCAAAAUCUAUACACCGGAUGAACCGACGCUAUAUAUUGGUGAACGUCGGUGCAGUUGUCCAGAAAGUUAGUUUUUUCAGCAACUACACUCACCGGUUAAACCGACGCUGCAUCGGUUGAUUACGUCGGUCGAUUGAGGUAGCCGUUGAAGUAUAACGGCUUGUUGGAAAAUGCACUCACCGGUUAAACCGGUGAUGACAAAAAUGGGAGCAUCGGUUUAACCGGUGAUAGCGCUUUUUGUCAGCCUUUUUUCCAACGGCUAGUUUGGGGUGUGUGGGCUAUAUAUAUGCCACCCCACGGCUCAUUUCAGAGUGCUGGAGACCAAGGAAGCAUACAAGAGUUCAAGAUCAUCUCCAACCACCAUAGAGCUUCAUUGUACAUCAUAUAGGCUUAAGCACACUUGUGAGAGUGCUUAGUGCUUGUUUAGGCUUAGUUCUUGAGAGAACUAGUUUGAGUGAAAGCCUUGCUGCGGCAAGCAUCUUGUGAUCCGUCGUGUGACCCUCCGCUUUGGUGUGGAGAGGCAACGACACUUUAUGCGGGGGAAGAGGAGACCCCCUCCUUGGUGGAGAAGCUCCGUAGUGGAUUUCGGCCGGGUGACCGAGAGAGACAGUGGCGGUGCACGAGACUCGGUGUCUUGUGUGCACUUGCCUUUGCUUGCCGGCAGCGCCUUGGUGGUGUAGUGCAAGACGGUGAUCGGAAGAGCCUCGGUGUCCCGUGGACGUUGGCUUUUGUGCCGAACCACGUUACAUCACUGUGUCCUCUUGGGAGUUUGCAUAUUCUCUCCUUUACCUCUUUACUUACGUAUUACGUUUCCGCAUUUACUCUAUCUUGCGUGCCCUUACUUUCCUAGUUAGUUUGAUUAGGAUUGGCUAUAGGUUGCAAGUCUUUUAGGGGUAAGUAGAGAGUAGCAUAGAUAAACCUUAGUCAUAACUAGCAUGUGUAGGACGUGUUAGGUUUAUCUCAUGCAAAUAGAUUGAGUCCUAGGAUAGAAAGCGAUUAGCGACCCUAUUCACCCCCUCCCCCUCUAGGGUCGGACACCCCGGUGAUCCUUACAUCGAGUCCUGCAGGCAUCGAGUACUUGCCUGGUCGUCUUCGAGUACUUCAAGUAGUCAGAAUGUCUUCUGGGCCUUCCCUCAGAUACAACGAGUAGUCCUCCAAGUACUUCUGGGUGCUCCGAGGCUAUGAGGUGCUCAAGCCCCGAAAUCUUGAUCAUAUAUGGUGCACGAAGUACUCGCGCUCCAUAUGGAGUAGCCCCCGAGCCUUAGGUUGAAUCGCAGAAUCAGGCUGAGGGUCACUUCAGUCUUUUUGCUUUAUUAUUUUCCAAAAAAUUUGAAAAAUAAAUCUCUGAUACACAUAUCCCGCAGCACCCGAGUCUUGAAUUUAAAUCUCUCCAUUUAGAUUUAAGAAUCAAAGAAAACUCGUGGCAGAAUAAGUAAUGAAAACUUUCCUGAAAAGGAAAGAAUCCGUUGAUCUCCCAAAUAUUCAAAAAAUUGCCAUCAGAGACCAUAUAAAUUCGUCUGGUACCUUGUGAGGUUUUUACCCGUUGAACUCCUGGCCGCCGUCAAAUUCAGAUCCAUACUUGCCCACUCCGAGUGUCAUUCGUAGCCCCUCUCGUAGCCCCCGAGCCUAAGCUCGUGACGUUGAGAUGGCUCCCAAAAAGGACAAAUCCAAGGUUGAAGACGAAGCAGUUGCCAAUCUUUCAACUGGUUGGCGCAAAAGCAAAACAUCUGAAUCAGUGGUGCAAGAACAGGAGAAUUUGGGUCUCCUCCAAACUCAGGGCGUGAUCCAAUGGCGUGCAGGCGAAGGAGAAGAUUACCCUAUGGAAGGUACCCUUGAGACCGUUGUGUUCUGUGAUAUCGGGGAACGUGGUCUUGCACUUCCUGUGUCGGAAUUUUUCUAUACUCUUCUACAAUUCUAGGGAAUUCAAUUGCAUCAUUUGACUCUCCAAUCUAUUUUGCAUCUUUCUAUUUUUACUCAUUUUUGCGAAGCAUUCCUUGGUAUUCUUCCCCACUUUCACCUUUUUCAACAUUUCUUCAUCAUUGUUCCCGUCCCGAAUGCCACCAAACCUGCCGUCGUUGGCAGAUGUGAACUGAUACUCCGCCCUGAAACUCAGGACGAGUACUUAGCGUAUGAUCCAGCGGGUAAAGGACUCGAGUGGAAGAAAUUCUGGUUUCAUGUCGGAAACUUUGAAUCUCCACUUCCAGAAAGAGUUCCUGGUGCCCCCCAAGUCCAAGAAAACUGGUCAAGUAAUGGACCUGGUGGCGAGCAAGUUGAUUGCAUCCUCAAAGCCAUUGCGCAUUGGAAAAAUAAAGGAGUCACCGGUGAUCAUGUGGUCUUCUCCUUUGUAAGCCGUCGGGUCUAGCCUCUCCAGCUUCAAAAACAUCCUGCCUUUAGAUAUGAAGGUAUACAAGAUCCCACUAGAGUGUCGCCAAAACCAAUGGCUCAGUCUGAAGUAGUCAAGAGAUGCUGCAAAGUACUCGACAACUUCGACAAGUCUUUGAAGCUUCCAACACUCUUCUGGGCAAAGAACCCUCCCGAGAAUACAUGGGUAAGUGUUUGGGAAACACUGCCCAGUACUUGUAGUUAAAGUUUUUGAUCUUCUGACAAGUUUUCUGCUUUUUUUGGGGAAAUAUUAUAAGUCAUGGUAUUGUAUGCCUCCGACUUCGGUAGAUGCUGCUUCUGAUGAAAGUAAGAAGCGGAAGGCAACUCCUGGAGCUUUGUUGCAGAGAAAGAUUCCUCGUCUCGAUGCUGGCCAGUAAGAGUCUGAUAUUCUUUGAUUUCAUCCUGCUUGCCUCAACUUUCUCAUUUAGAGUCCUGCUUGUCUAGAAUCCAAUAUCUCCCAGCACACGAGAAGGAUCAGAUCAAGAUUUCAGCAACUGGGUACAGAGUGGUCCAGAAACAACUACUUGAUUAGCCCCUGAGUCACUAGUAAUUGGGUUGAUCGAGAACUCAACUGCCAGUAUAUCGGAUGCAGAAACGGCUAGAAUAUCAAAUGAGCCAAACCCUGAAGCACCCGAACAUACUCCUGCGGCUGCUAAAGGUACCUCCAAUGCUGGUGGAACUAGUAGUAGUGGAGGUGAAGGAUCGAGAGGUCCUGCCAUUCGACUAGUACCCUUUCAAUCUAUGCCACAGUCAACCCAAGAAGAGUUAGGAAAGGAACUUUUUGAUGAUCCGCUGUUGUCUGUAGACAACAUAAAGAAGCUCGCUGACUAUAUGCAAUGGAGCUUUAAAUAUACCAAGUAUGUCGCCAAUCGGUCCUUCCUGAAGUCUCAUGCUUUAUAUAAGACUGUUGACAAUCGGAAAAUCUUGGAGCAGCAGAAUGCCCUGAUUGCCAAACGACUAGAUGAACCCCUUGCUGCUCGGAACAAGCUGUAUGAAGCAAACUGAAAGCAUCAUCUAGAACUUUGUGACAUGAAGUGUCAGAUCAAGGGCCUCGAAGAAGAAAGAUCAAAGCUCCAGGCAGAAAAUUCAAAGCUUCAAGAACAGUUGCAGAUUGCUCAAGCUUCAGCUCAGGUCAUUGUGGACAUGGUCGAUUCUGAAGAGGGGUCGUCGAAUAGCAAGUCCUUGGUAGAGGCUCCCAAGAAGAUCUUUGAUGUCAUGACGGCUACCUCCAAGAACUAUCUGACCCACAUGAUAGGAGUUGUCAAGUCUUACUUGCCUCAGUUUAAUUUAGCUCCCAUAACUAAAGGAAUAGCUCCCGAUUGUUCUGAUGAGACAUUCCGGAACUAUUGUAAAGAAUCAGAAGUGAUCGCUGAGGAAAUUUUGAAUAACUUGGCAGAGUAAACUUCUUGUAACAAGUCUUGUAAUCUUCAGUAAGAUUUUGACGUUGUAUAUACCUUUUAUCCUGUUGGUGUGUCUUCA